rnacentral:rRNA from 1 species
CGGGACGGGUGAGUAACGCGUGGGCAACCUGCCCUGUACUGGGGGAUAACACCUGGAAACAGGUGCUAAUACCGCAUAAGCGCGCUGUGCCGCAUGGCGCGGCGCGGAAAACCCCGGUGGUACAGGAUGGGCCCGCGUCUGAUUAGCUGGUUGGCAGGGUAACGGCCUACCAAGGCGACGAUCAGUAGCCGGCCUGAGAGGGUGGACGGCCACACUGGGACUGAGACACGGCCCAGACUCCUACGGAAGGCAGCAG